GACGAACGCUGGCGGCGUGCUUAACACAUGCAAGUCGAACGGUGAAGCGCCUUCCUUUUUGGUGGGUGUGGAUGAGUGGCGAACGGGUGAGUAACACGUGAGUAACCUGCCCCCUUCUUCUGGAUAACCGCAUGAAAGUGUGGCUAAUACGGGAUAUUCUGGGUCUGUCGCAUGAUGGGUCUGGGAAAGAUAUUGUUUCGGUGGGGGAUGGGCUCGCGGCCUAUCAGCUUGUUGGUGGGGUGAUGGCCUACCAAGGCGGUGACGGGUAGCCGGCCUGAGAGGGUGGACGGUCACACUGGGACUGAGACACGACCCAGACUCCGACGGGAGGCAGCAGUGGGGAAUAGUGCACAAUGGGCGCAAGCCUGAUGCAGCGACGCCGCGUGAGGGAUGGAGGCCUUCGGGUUGUGAACCUCUUUCGCCAGUGAAGCAGGCCUGCCUCGUUUGUGGGUGGGUUGACGGUAGCUGGAUAAGAAGCGCCGGCUAACUACGUG
rnacentral:rRNA from 1 species